UAUUGCGCAAUGGGCGAAAGCCUGACGCAGCGACGCCGCGUGGGGGAUGACGGCCUUCGGGUUGUAAACCUCUUUCGACCGGGACGAAGCGUGAGUGACGGUACCGGUAGAAGAAGCACCGGCCAACUACGUGCCAGCAGCCGCGGUAAUACGUAGGGUGCGAGCGUUGUCCGGAAUUAUUGGGCGUAAAGAGCUCGUAGGCGGUGUGUCGCGUCGGUCGUGAAAACUUGGGGCUUAACCCUGAGCGUGCGGUCGAUACGGGCAUCACUUGAGUUCGGCAGGGGAGACUGGAAUUCCUGGUGUAGCGGUGAAAUGCGCAGAUAUCAGGAGGAACACCGGUGGCGAAGGCGGGUCUCUGGGCCGAUACUGACGCUGAGGAGCGAAAGCGUGGGGAGCGAACAGG
rnacentral:rRNA from 1 species